AUUUUAUUUUAUUUGUUUGUCUUUUUCCUAUGAUUUACCUGUUUCUGUUAAGUUUUUUUCAGGUCAUAUUUUCCUCUUUUACACAGCGCAUAAUAGCUAAAUUUAAAGGAGCAAUGAGCCUCUCAAGUGUACAGAUGGUGUGGAGCUGGCGGCUUAUUUAACACGAAUUACAUGAAUGAAUACUUCAUAGCAGAAGUAAUUAUAUUUAGACUUCUGACUGCAAUUCCUUCUUACAAAUUUGUCCUGUAAGAUAAAUUCUUAUGCAUUUUAUAUAAACUUUUUCAAUGUGCAAGUUAUGCAUUCACAUAUGACUGAAACAGAUGUUGAAUUAAGUUUGUCAGUGGGUGACUAUGUGAUUGUACGGAAGGUAUUCAUUCUUCAUGGAUUUCAUGUAUACAUGUACCGUUUUCUGGGGGGUUUUAUGUUGUUCCAGAACACCAGAUAGAGGAUUCUUAAAUCCUGUUUUUUUGGACUCCACCUUUGACAUUAAAUAAUAUUGCCUACAGGCUUUUAUAAAAAAAUGCAAGCACACACCCCCCCGUCCAUCUCGCACGCACGCAUGUCGUCCGGCCGCCUGCCUGUCAUUUGACCUAUGCAUGAAAAAAUGUAUUUCACUUCUUAAAAGCUAAAAUGGUGGUAUUUUUAUGAGAUAUGAAGUGUUUGAGUGGUAAAAAAUGUAAAGGUAAAGUGUAGGCCUUCGAUAUGUAAAUACAUAAACAUUGGGUGGCACAUAUUAAUGUAAAUUGCCCCUUUUUUAUGUAAAAAUUUCAGUUG